AGUGAACGCUGGCGGCGUGCCUAACACAUGCAAGUCGUGCGCGAAAGGGAGCAAUCCCAAGUAGAGCGGCGAACGGGUGAGUAACACGUGGUUAACCUGCCUGGAUGUGGGGGAUACCCCGGGGAAACUCGGGAUAAUACCGCAUGAUGUCUUUCGGGCGUUGGCCUGGGAGAGCAAAGCUGGGGACCGUAAGGCCUAGCGCAACCAGAGGGGACCGCGGCCGAUUAGCUAGUUGGCGGGGUAAUGGCCCACCAAGGCGACGAUCGGUAGCCGGCCUGAGAGGGUGAUCGGCCACACCGGAACUGAGACACGGUCCGGACUCCUACGGGAGGCAGCAGUGGGGAAUUUUGCGCAAUGGGCGAAAGCCUGACGCAGCAACGCCGCGUGGAGGAUGAAGGUUCUCUGAAUCGUAAACUCCUGUCGGUCGGGAAGAAUGGACGGGGUGCUAAUCAGCCUCGUCUUGACUGUACCGGCAAAGGAAGCCCCGGCUAACUCCGUGCCAGCAGCCGCGGUAAUACGGAGGGGGCAAGCGUUACUCGGAAUUAUUGGGCGUAAAGGGCGCGUAGGCGGUCGUGCGCGUCGGAGGUGAAAUCCCCGGGCUCAACCCGGGAGCUGCCUCCGAUACGGCAUGGCUUGAGUCCGGGAGAGGGGAGCAGAAUUCCCAGUGUAGCGGUGAAAUGCGUAGAUAUUGGGAGGAAUACCGGUGGCGAAGGCGGCUCCCUGGACCGGUACUGACGCUGAGGCGCGAAAGCAUGGGGAGCAAACAGGAUUAGAUACCCUGGUAGUCCAUGCUGUAAACGAUGGGUGCUUGGUGUCGGGGGUAUCGACCCCUCCGGUGCCGAAGCUAACGCAUUAAGCACCCCGCCUGGGGAGUACGGUCGCAAGGCUG
rnacentral:rRNA from 1 species